rnacentral:snRNA from 1 species
AUCGCUUCUCAGCCUUUUGGCUAAGAUCAAGUGUAGUAUCUAUGCACCACUAAGAAAGAAAGCAAAACCAAUACAUAAACGACCACUU